UCUCUGACCGCAAACUCUUCCGUGGCUCCUCUGAAAAUAAUCUCCCCCUUUUUUUUUCUCUCUCCGUUUACCUCAAUUGAGUUUCCAGCGCUUUUGUUCGCUCUUCUUAUCACUUGGAAAAAGGUGAACCCUCGUGUUAUUUUUUUAUUUUAAUCUUUGCUUUAAUUGUAGUUUUUACCCUUGUGGUCCCUGAUGGCUUCGCACAGUGAUACUCUGGUGGUGUUCUUUGGGGCAACAGCUGGUGCAAAUGGGGGUAAACUGGGUUCGGAUGAGAGGGAAAUAAUUCUCUUGGUGUGGCAAAUUGUGGAUCUACAUGAGAAAAAGGUUGGGAAGCUUCAGAGAUGUCUUGUCAAGCCAGACACUUUGGAGCUGACAGACCAGUGUAAAGAGGAGACAGGACUGACUCUGGACGAGGUCGUCAAAGCUGAGCCCCUGGAUAAAGUUCUGCAGCAGUUCCAACAGUCAGUGUCAUCAGAACUGAAAUGCCUCGGCAGGAGCACUUACACACUUUGUGUCAACAGUCCCCUUGUCAUCCGACAGGCCCUCCACCCCGAAGCUUCCAAAAAGAAUCUUGUCCUUCCUGAAUGUUUCUUCUCAUUUGUGGACGUCAGGAAGGAGUUUCACAAAUGCUGCCCCAAUGCCGGCCCUGUGCAAAAGCUCGAACUCCCCUCCAUGUUGGAAUAUGUUGGUCUUCCUGCUGUGUCAGAGCAGUUGAUGGGCGUGAGGGAGGUGAGCAGUAUGGUGCAGCUGACACUCUGCAUCCUGGCAGAGCCCUACAAUCACAAGUUCUCCUCUGUUGAAACAGUGAAGUACAAGUUUGAUUCCGGCACAUGUAGUAAGACAGAGCCUGUGGACAGUGAGACAGUGAUCAGAGCACGGGGGCUUCCAUGGCAGUCCUCAGACCAAGACAUUGCUCGCUUCUUUAAAGGCCUCAGUAUUGCCAAGGGUGGCGUGGCAUUGUGUCUUAACGCUCAGGGCAGGAGAAAUGGCGAGGCCUUAGUUCGUUUCGUCAACUCAGAACACAGGGACCUGGCCCUGGAGCGCCACAAGCACCACAUGGGCAGCCGCUACAUCGAGGUCUACAAGGCCACAGGAGAGGAAUUCCUCAAGAUUGCUGGAGGUACAUCUAACGAGGUGGCCCAGUUCCUGUCCAAAGAGAACCAGGUGAUUAUCCGUAUGCGGGGGUUGCCGUUCACUGCCACCCCCCAGGAAGUGCUGUCCUUCCUUGGUCCCGAGAGCCCAGUUACAGAUGGUGCUGAGGGCCUCCUCUUUGUCAAGUACCCUGAUGGACGACCCACUGGCGAUGCCUUUGUGCUCUUUUCUUGCGAAGAGUACGCCCAGAACGCCCUGAAGAAGCACAAGCAGAUCUUGGGGAAGCGGUAUAUCGAGCUGUUUCGGAGUACUGCGGCUGAGGUGCAACAGGUCCUGAACCGCUAUAUGUCCACGCCUCUGAUCUCCACGCUGCCCCCUUCACCUAUCGUGCCUGUUCCGGUCCUUGCCACGCCUCCCUUCCUUCCAGCAGCCAGCAGCACUCGCGACUGUGUCCGCCUCCGUGGCCUACCCUACACUGCCGGCAUUGAAGAUAUCCUGGAGUUCAUGGGAGAGCACACCGUUGACAUCAAACCCCAUGGAGUCCACAUGGUCCUCAACCAACAGGUUAGACUGGGUCGGCCCUCUGGUGAUGCCUUCAUCCAAAUGAAAUCAUCUGACAAGGCAUUUAUGGUGGCCCAGAAGUGCCAUAAAAAGACCAUGAAGGACCGUUAUGUGGAGGUGUUCCAGUGCUCCACAGAGGAGAUGAGCAUCGUGCUGAUGGGAGGAACCCUGAACCGCAGCGGCCUCUCCCCUCCACCCUGCAAGCUACCCUGUCUGUCUCCCCCCACAGCCUACGCGGCCUUCCCCACCCCGCCUGCCAUUCUCUCUGAGGCUGCUCUCUACCAGCCCCCCCUGCUGGCUGCUCCCAGACCUCCCCAGACCACCACACACAGCCCCGCUCACACUCUGGCUUACUACCCCCCUCACCCACACCUGUACAUGAAUAUGAACAUGAACUACACAGCUUACUACCCCAGCCCCCCAGUUUCUCCUUCCACAGUUAGCUACUUUGCAGCCCCACCGGGAGCAGUGGCAGCCGCAGUGGCAGCCCAGCCUCACCCUGCUGCAGCCGCCUCUCCUGUCCUGCCUCAACAUGGCGCCCUGGUCAGGAUGCAGGGCCUGCCAUACAACACUGGAGUCAAGGACAUUCUUAGCUUCUUCCAGGGAUACCAGUCGAAAUUAGGUGGAGUCCUCUGAAGCAGUACGCCCCUGACGAGUACAGCAGCAUGGUUCAGAUGAGCGAACAGGCCAGGAGUCUGAUUCAGCCCAAAGAAUGGCUCUGUCUUUAGGGACUCACCCCAAGCUCCAGCCAGACGCCGUUCUCAUCUUGUACAACUUCAGUGGCCAGUGCAGUGGCGAGGCCUUGAUCACUUUCCCUAGCGAGGAGAUUGCCAGGCGGGCCGUAGCCGAGCGCUCCAACCACCCCUUCUACGGCCAGCAGGUCCACUUGAUCUUCUGUAACUGACCACUACUCCCUCCUCUCCUUCAGUUUAAUGUCCCAUUGAAGAGCACCCGCCCCCAAAAUACAUCCCUCCAGCAACAGCUUUUUCAUAAAACUGAAUCAAGUUGAUCCCAGUGCCACUUAAAACAUCUAUUGAACCUCUCCCUUUUCUGUGAUCUGCCAUUUGUUGAUCUACAACCGACACUGCUGGCCCCUGACACUCCUGUAGCCGCUGCUGGAGUUCGGACAUCCACUGGAAUAGCAGCUGAAGUCAUUAAAGCUUCACGUGGAUGACUUUGUGGAUGUCACAUGCUGCGUUUCUGUGUAUUUGCAUCUACCGUAAUAGCUGGUUGUGGAGAUGAGAUGGUGUGGAGCCUGGACACACCCAUAUCAGUGGCUCUGCAAAGCCAAAUAUGCAUGUAUAUUUAAAUUCUCCCCGUAAAACUGUACAGAUGUUCAUCCUGAAAUGCUUGAGGCUGUACAAACCACUUCUGCUUACGACCUUUUCUGUAUAUUGUUAAGUUUUCACGCUUAACCACUACAAGAUUUAGAUGCGUUCUCAGAUCUUUUGUGUUCUGCAGCUUUACGCAGACACAGAUGUGUGUAUGUGCAUGCACAAUGUUUAUUGAUCCGAUGGCCUCCAGUAGUGCAGUGCUGACAUUUGAAAGAGACACGACAAAGCCAUCGAGACCUGGGCUACUGAAACAACAGAGAGAAUAUGAAACAGUACUCGACUCAACUUGACUGUCAUUAAUCUGAACCGAACCUUGAGCUGCAGCGACUGUAAAACUACAGCAAUGCCACAGAUGUGCCAACGUACUAAUUAAUUUGUAACUUUAAUAUUUUUCUGUAAAGAGCAUUUAUGUGUGACAUACAGUAUGUCGGCCCAUUUAAACAUUUUUCAAGCACUACAGAUUUAUUUGCUCCAAUCAAAGAGUUAAGCGACAGAGCGUCUUUAACAGAGUAGAAUGACAAAUUGAUUCUAUUUUUAUUAGUCUCAUUUCCUUACCAAAGUGGAGAUUUUGUUAUUAAAUGUAAAAAGGUAGAGGUGUAUCCUGAAGCCUUUGUAAUGAUUGACCUCAGCUACUAGAUCUCUUCUGUUUUGGUUUCCAGACUAUUUCUAAUGAUCAGUCUGUAGCAUGCUUUAAUGACCGGAGUACUGUGUAAAAGCUGCAUGAGUUUUCCUCUGACAGGCCUGCUGACAGCUGUCUUAGGUUUUUCCUCUUUACUGUGCCUACAUUACCCAGAGUGCAAUACUGGCCCAAACAAGGCUAGGGCAACCUCUGGUGGCAGAGGAGAUGUUUGUUUCUUUUGGUGCAAGUUUGAGACUUGUAUGAAUUUAGAUCUGUGUAUAAGACCGUAAACAACAAUAAAAAAUGUUGACAAUGA